rfam:Triticum aestivum genome assembly, contig: Triticum_aestivum_CS42_TGACv1_scaffold_177325_2DS
AUGCUACUCCCUUCGUUCCAAAAUUCUUGUCUUAGAUUUGUCUAGAUACGGAUGUAUCUAAUACUGAAACGUGACUUGAUACAUCCAUAUUUAGACGAAUCUAAGACAAGAAUUUUGGGAUGGAGGGAAUAUUUC